CCUACGGGAGGCAGCAGUGGGGAAUAUUGCACAAUGGGGGAAACCCUGAUGCAGCGACGCCGCGUGAAGGAAGAAGUAUUUCGGUAUGUAAACUUCUAUCAGCAGGGAAGAAAAUGACGGUACCUGACUACGAAGCCACGGCUAACUACGUGCCAGCAGCCGCUGGAAUACGUAGGGCGCACGCGUUAUCCGGAUUUACUGGGUGUAAAGGGAGCGUAGGCGGCGAUGCAAGUCAGAAGUGAAAGCCCGGGGCUCAACGCCGGGACUGCUUUUGAAACUGUGUUGCUAGAUUGCAGGAGAGGUAAGUGGAAUUCCUGGGGUAGCGGUGAAAUGCGUAGAUAUGAGGAGGAACACCAGUGGCGAAGGCGGCUUACUGGACUGUAAAUGACGCUGAGGCUCGAAAGCGUGGGGAGCAAACAGGAUUAGAUACCCCUGUAGUC
rnacentral:rRNA from 1 species